rnacentral:rRNA from 1 species
UACGGAGGGUGCGAGCGUUAAUCGGAAUUACUGGGCGUAAAGCGUGCGCAGGCGGUGAUGUAAGACCGAUGUGAAAUCCCCGGGCUUAACCUGGGAACUGCAUUGGUGACUGCAUUGCUGGAGUAUGGCAGAGGGGGGUGGAAUUCCACGUGUAGCAGUGAAAUGCGUAGAGAUGUGGAGGAACACCCGUGGCGAAGGCGGCUCUCUGGUCCGAUACUGACGCUGAGGCGCGAAAGCUAGGGUAGCAAACAGG